rnacentral:misc_RNA from 1 species
AAAAAAAAAAAAAAAAAGAAGAUGAAGACUGGCACACAGCAAAACAAUUUUGAGUCUUUGCCUCCAGCCUGAAGCUUUUAAUGAAAAGUAGCAUCAAAUAUUCUAGAAACCAAUUAGCUGAACACUUUAUAUUCUUGCAUGUAUAUGGCAGCUCAAAUUCUAGGCCACACAAACAUUAGUACUAUUCCAUUCCUUGAACACCUUUCCUCC